CUGGUUGCCAUUUAAGUUGGUUGAUGGUUUUAUUGGAUAUGAAUUGAACUAAAACUACAUGUAUUAAGUAAUAAAGACUGAAUUAUAACUGAAACAGUGGGUUUAGAUUUGAUUUCUGAAAACUGUUGCAGCUUUUGUCAGGGUUGGUGUUGCUCAGUCUUCAGUUUUCUAUGUUGUGUUGUAUGUCUACAGGUCUUUUUCUUUUUGAGCAAUGGUGUUGUCAGUUUAUUUUGAACAAUGAGUUUGAAUGGCCCUCUGGUUUUUUUUUAUAACAAAAGUUAGAACAUGACCAAAGGAUAUCAAUUUCAUAGGAUAACUAAAAAUAUCCACAGGUACCAAGUAAUAAAUAAAUAAACAAAAGUGUU
rnacentral:lncRNA from 1 species